AGAGAACACCCGGGACUUGAACGCUGGACCCUGAGAGAGGCCUCGGAGAGGGGAGGAAGGGUGAGGUCACGAUGUGCCUGGACAAAAACCCUUGGAGCAGGACCAGGACUAGGACCGUGUGCUGUCCUGGAGCCAGUGAAACCAGACGAAAUUAAGGGAACAGCAGACGAAGGAACUGCCACCGUGCCCCAGACCCUGGUUUGCAAAUACAGUUCGACAAAGAUCUUGCCAGGAAUUGGCCUGGGAGAGUCCAAAGGACUGGGCUGGGGGUGGGGAAAUGAUUUUAGCCAGAAGACAAAUAUAGAGGUUGUACCCAGAAGGUUAAGAGGCUUAGGAAGGUUAAGAACUACGUUAACAUUUGGCUCCCAGGACCCCAGCUCAAAGAAUCAAUAUUCUAUGCUUUAAAAAUAUAGAAUGGCUGGGUGCAGUGGC
rnacentral:lncRNA from 10 species